AUGGGGGAAACCCUGACGCAGCGACGCCGCGUGCGGGAUGAAGGCCUUCGGGUUGUAAACCGCUUUCACCAGGGACGAAGCGAGAGUGACGGUACCUGGGGAAGAAGCGCCGGCUAACUACGUGCCAGCAGCCGCGGUAAUACGUAGGGCGCGAGCGUUGUCCGGAAUUAUUGGGCGUAAAGAGCUCGUAGGCGGCCGGUUGCGUCUGCUGUGCAAUCCCGGGGCUUAACCCCGGGCGUGCAGUGGAUACGGGCCGGCUGGAGGCAGGCAGGGGAGAAUGGAAUUCCCGGUGUAGCGGUGAAAUGCGCAGAUAUCGGGAGGAACACCGGUGGCGAAGGCGGUUCUCUGGGCCUGUACUGACGCUGAGGAGCGAAAGCGUGGGGAGCGAACAGGAUUAGAUACCCUGGUAGUCCACGCCGUAAACGUUGGGCGCUAGGUGUGGGUCCCUUCCACGGGGUCUGUGCCGCAGCUAACGCAUUAAGCGCCCCGCCUGGGAGUACGGG
rnacentral:rRNA from 1 species